UACGGAGGGGGCUAGCGUUGUUCGGAAUUACUGGGCGUAAAGCGCACGUAGGCGGCUUUGUAAGUUAGAGGUGAAAGCCCGGAGCUCAACUCCGGAAUUGCCUUUAAGACUGCAUCGCUCGAAUCAUGGAGAGGUGAGUGGAAUUCCGAGUGUAGAGGUGAAAUUCGUAGAUAUUCGGAAGAACACCAGUGACGAAGGCGACUCACUGGACAUGUAUUGACGCUGAGGUGCGAAAGCGUGGGGAGCAAACAGG
rnacentral:rRNA from 1 species